UACGGAGGGUGCAAGCGUUGUUCGGAAUCACUGGGCGUAAAGGGCGUGUAGGCGGUCUAUCAAGUCUGGUGUGAAAUCCCCUCGCUCAACGAGGGAACUGCGCCGGAAACUGACAGACUAGAGUACCGGAGAGGAAGGUGGAAUUCCCGGUGUGAGCGGUGAAAUGCGUAAGAUAUCGGGAGGAACACCGGUGGCGAAGGCGGCCUUCUGGACGGAUACUGACGGCUGAGACGCGAAAGCCAGGGGAGCGAACGGGAUUAAGAAACCCCGUGGUAGUCCAAGACCGAAUGUACCU
rnacentral:rRNA from 1 species